AGUGAACGCUGGCGGUAGGCCUAACACAUGCAAGUCGAACGGCAGCACAGUAAGAGCUUGCUCUUACGGGUGGCGAGUGGCGGACGGGUGAGGAAUACAUCGGCAUCUACUUUUUCGUGGGGGAUAACGUAGGGAAACUUACGCUAAUACCGCAUACGACCUACGGCUGAAAGCAGGGGAUCUUCGGACCUUGCGCGAUUGAAUGAGCCGAUGUCGGAUUAGCUAGUUGGCGGGGUAAAGGCCCACCAAGGCGACGAUCCGUAGCUGGUCUGAGAGGAUGAUCAGCCACACUGGAACUGAGACACGGUCCAGACUCCUACGGGAGGCAGCAGUGGGGAAUAUUGGACAAUGGGCGCAAGCCUGAUCCAGCCAUACCGCGUGAGUGAAGAAGGCCUUCGGGUUGUAAAGCCCUUUUGUUGGGAAAGAAAAGCAGCAGGUUAAUACCCCGCUGUUCUGACGGUACCCAAAGAAUAAGCACCGGCUAACUUCGUG
rnacentral:rRNA from 1 species